AAUAAGGGCUGCUGUCGUGAAUGGCACACGUAGGGCAGCUCUAUUGCUCUACAUGUAGAAUCGACAUCAAUAGAUUUCGGAAUAAUUUUUUGGUACCUGGGCAGCUGGUGAUUGUUGGUUCUGGCGCCCUU